UCAUAUGUCAAUCCAUAUCAACUUUCGAUGCCUACCAUGGUGACCACGGGUAAUGGGGAAUUACGUACAGGGACCCUGACAAAUGGCUACCGCAUGCAAGGAAGGCAGCAGGCGCGCAAAUGACCCACUCCCGAUGCAGGAAGGUAGUGAUGA